rnacentral:rRNA from 1 species
UGGGGAAUAUUGGACAAUGGACCAAGAGUCUGAUCCAGCAAUUCUGUGUGCACGAUGAAGUUUUUCGGAAUGUAAAGUGCUUUCAGUUGGGAAGAAAGAAAUGACGGCACCAACAGAAGAAGUGACGGCUAAAUACGUGCCAGCAGCCGCGGUAAUACGUAUGUCACGAGCGUUAUCCGGAUUUAUUGGGCGUAAAGCGCGUCUAGGUGGCUAUGUAAGUCUGAUGUGAAAAUGCAGGGCUCAACUCUGUAUUGCGUUGGAAACUGUAUAACUAGAGUACUGGAGAGGUAAGCGGAACUACAAGUGUAGAGGUGAAAUUCGUAGAUAUUUGUAGGAAUGCCGAUGGGGAAGCCAGCUUACUGGACAGAUACUGACGCUGAAGCGCGAAAGCGUGGGUAGCAAACAGGAUUAGAUACCCUGGUAGUCCACGCCGUAAACGAUGAUUACUAGGUGUUGGGGGUCGAACCUCAGCGCCCAAGCAAACGCGAUAAGUAAUCCGCCUGGGGAGUACGUACGCAAGUAUG